UAAAACGUUGCUUUUGCAUUAAUCAUAAUAAAAACUGAAUGACUGAGACCACCCAAGGGUGUUGACAGGCAGUUACCACACCCUCAUCUGAGAUGCAGAGAAACCAUUCACUGAACAUGAAACAGAGAGAGCACCAGGUCAGUGGUGUUCACAGAGAAGAGUCUGCGGUCCAUGACAGACCACAAGAAUACCGCUUUCCUGCCAAGAUGAUACAUGCAGACCUUGUCUUGGUACUCCAUAUAAUGCCUGCUGCAUAUGAGCUCCACAGGAUUGGACCUCUGUAGAGCAGUGUCAAAUGGCGGAUCAGCAGUUCCCCCAGAUCUGAUGUGUGUAGACUUGUGUUGAACUUGGUAGUGUUUUAAUUUUGGAAGUAUUAGUUUUGAGUGCUGUUGCUCUCUUCUUAAUAAAGUUUUUUUA